GAGUAACACGUGAGCAACCUGCCCCAGACUCUGGGAUAACAGUUGGAAACAGCUGCUAAUACCGGAUACGAGACGGAGAGGCAUCUCUACCGUCUGGAAAGUUUUUCGGUCUGGGAUGGACUCGCGGCCUAUCAGCUAGUUGGUGAGGUAAUGGCUCACCAAGGCGACGACGGGUAGCCGGCCUGAGAGGGCGACCGGCCACACUGGGACUGAGACACGGCCCAGACUCCUACGGGAGGCAGCAGUGGGGAAUAUUGCACAAUGGGCGAAAGCCUGAUGCAGCGACGCCGCGUGAGGGAUGACGGCCUUCGGGUUGUAAACCUCUUUCAGCAGGGAAGAAGCGAAAGUGACGGUACCUGCAGAAGAAGCACCGGCUAACUACGUGCCAGCAGCCGCGGUAAUACGUAGGGUGCGAGCGUUGUCCGGAAUUAUUGGGCGUAAAGAGCUUGUAGGCGGUUUGUCGCGUCUGCAGUGAAAAUCCGAGGCUCAACCUCGGACUUGCUGUGGGUACGGGCAGACUAGAGUAUGGUAGGGGAGACCGGAAUUCCUGGUGUAGCGGUGGAAUGCGCAGAUAUCAGGAGGAACACCGAUGGCGAAGGCAGGUCUCUGGGCCAUAACUGACGCUGAGAAGCGAAAGCAUGGGGAGCGAACAGGAUUAGAUACCCUGGUAGUCCAUGCCGUAAACGUUGGGCGCUAGGUGUGGGGCUCAUUCCACGAGCUCCGUGCCGCAGCUAACGCAUUAAGCGCCCCGCCUGGGGAGUACGGCCGCAAGGCUAAAACUCAAAGGAAUUGACGG
rnacentral:rRNA from 1 species